GACGAACGCUGGCGGCGUGCUUAACACAUGCAAGUCGAACGGAGUGGCGAACGGGUGAGUAACGCGUAAUCAACCUGCCCUUCAGAGGGGGACAACAGUUGGAAACGACUGCUAAUCCCGCAUACUGAAGGAGGGGAAUGCGUUUGAUUAGCUAGUUGGAGGGGUAACGGCCCACCAAGGCGAUGAUCAGUAGCCUGUCUUGUAGGAUGAACUGCCACAUUUGUACUGAGCAACGGCCCAGACUCCUCCGGGAGGCAGCAGUGGGGAAUCUUCCGCAAUGGAGGAAAGUCUUACGGAGCAACGCCGCGGGAGUGAUGACGGCCUUCGGGUUGUAAAGCUCUGUUAAUCGGGACGCGGUACCGGAAUAGAAAGCCACGGCUAACUACGUGCCAGCCGCCGCGGUAAUAC
rnacentral:rRNA from 1 species